UGAACUGAACCAGAGUCAGCUUGCUCCAGUGUGCAUAUGGCAUGAGGUAAGCCAAUCAGAUAUUCUCUUCCAGGAGUUUGGAAUCAAGGUUCAGUGAUAGCAGGGGCUGGAACUGUAACUUGUGAGUGAGUUAACCCUCUGAGAGACUGGGUCCUGGUCUGGAGAAUCUUUGUUUGCUGACUCCCAAGAUAGGACAGGCAAUGCUGAGUGUUCACAUCCAGCUGUAGAAGCCAGGAGAAAGUUGGUGCCCCUGCAUGGAAGGGUUGAGAGAUUGAGGAGCCUGGUGGAAUUGGGUGCAGAAGGGGGUGACCCAGGAGCACACUGGAUGACGUAUUUAGAGUAGGGGCAAAAGAGAAGAACCCUAAUUAGAGGUGCUGCUGGGAAGAUUUGGAGGCAGAGAAUGGGUUUGAAGAAUUUGCCUGGGAGUAUGUAGGGUAACCCCUGCAUUGUCCUGCGAACUCCUCAGUAAAGUCAGAUGGGCCUCUUAUGUUUUGUUAGUCCCUGGCCCCUGGUAACUGCUGUUCCUUGUUCUGAUUCAACUGUUGCUUGCUAUAGAUUUAAAGAAAGGGGUCUGAAGGAUCUGUCAGGCUGCAGUGUGGACAACAGAUCAGAGGAGAGCAAGAAUAGAUGGGAGAGAGCCAUUAGCAAGCUGUGGUCGUACCACAGGCAAGAGCUGGAUUGUGACAAUGGCAGCAGGGAUGAAGAGGAUGGAAAGGCAUGACACAUGAGAGAGGCAUUUAGGAUGGAAUCCAGGUCCUCUGCAUGGCCCCCCAAGGCCCUGAACCCAACAGCCCAAACCCAUCCUUCCCGCUGAAAGUCCACAGAUGCUAAGCUCCAGCCAAG
rnacentral:lncRNA from 1 species